rnacentral:rRNA from 1 species
CGGUCCAAAGCUUAACACCGAGAACAUACUGCUUAAAGGCAGAGCGGUGGCGAAGUGAAACGAGCCAUCACGCAUACAUAAAGUGAUUAUCAAGCAAAAUGUUUUGGGUGUUGAGCUUUGGAUAGUGGCGAACGGGUGAGUAACGCGUAGGCAAUCUGCCUUCUAGAUGGGGACAACAUCCCGAAAGGGGUGCUAAUACCGAAUGUUGUACCGUUUCCGCAUGGAGAUGAUACUAAAGGUGGCCUCUGAAUAUGCUACCGCUAGAAGAUGAGCCUGCGUCUGAUUAGCUAGUUGGAGGGGUAACGGCCCACCAAGGCUUCGAUCAGUAGCCGGUCUGAGAGGAUGAACGGCCACACUGGGACUGAGACACGGCCCAGACUCCUACGGGAGGCAGCAGUGGGGAAUCUUCCGCAAUGGACGAAAGUCUGACGGAGCAACGCCGCGUGAGUGAAGAAGGUUUUCGGAUCGUAAAGCUCUUUCGUUAGGGACGAACGUGCUCUUUGUGAAUAAUGAAGAGUAAUGACGGUACCUAAAUAAGAAGCCACGGCUAACUACGUGCCAGCAGCCGCGGUAAUACGUAGGUGGCAAGCGUUGUCCGGAAUUAUUGGGCGUAAAGCGCGCGCA